rnacentral:rRNA from 1 species
CCUACGGGAGGCAGCAGUGAGGAAUAUUGGUCAAUGGCCGAGAGGCUGAACCAGCCAAGUCGCGUGAGGGAUGACGGCCCUACGGGUUGUCAACCUCUUUUGUCGGGGAGCAAAGAGAGUCACGUGUGGCUCAUUGAGAGUACCCGAAGAAAAAGCAUCGGCUAACUCCGUGCCAGCAGCCGCGGUAAUACGUAGGUGGCAAGCGUUGUCCGGAAUUACUGGGUGUAAAGGGAGCGUAGGCGGGAUGUCAAGGCAGAAGUGAAAAUUAUGGGCUCAACUCAUAACCUGCUUUUGAAACUGAUAUUCUUGAGUGAAGUAGAGGCAAGCGGAAUGCCUAGUGUAGCGGUGAAAUGCGUAGAUAUUAGGAGGAACACCAGUGGCGAAGGCGGCUUGCUGGGCUUUGACUGACGCUGAGGCUCGAAAGCGUGGGGAGCAAACAGGAUUAGAUACCCUAGUAGUC